rnacentral:sRNA from 1 species
ACUUCUAUUUUCUAUA